AGUAGGCUUCCGCAAGGACGUCUGUAGAGGUGCUGCAUGGCUGUCGUCAGCUCGUGUCGUGAGAUGUUGGGUUAAGUCCCGCAACGAGCGCAACCCUUGUCUUCUGUUGCCAUCGGGUUAUGCCGGGCACUCUGAAGAGACUGCCGGUGACAAACCGGAGGAAGGUGGGGAUGACGUCAAGUCAGCAUGGCCUUUAUGUCUGGGGCCACACACGUGCUACAAUGGCCGGUACAAACCGUCGCGAUACCGUAAGGUGGAGCUAAUCGGAGAAAGCCGGUCUCAGUUCGGAUUGUAGGCUGCAACUCGCCUGCAUGAAGUUGGAAUCGCUAGUAAUCGCGGAUCAGCACGCCGCGGUGAAUACGUUCCCGGGCCUUGUACACACCGCCCGUCACAUCACGAAAGCUGGCUGUACUAGAAGUAGCUGCGCUAACCCGCAAGGGAGGAAGGUUCCUAAGGUAUGGUCAGUGAU
rnacentral:rRNA from 1 species